rnacentral:rRNA from 1 species
UACGUAGGGUGCAAGCGUUGUCCGGAAUUAUUGGGCGUAAAGAGCUCGUAGGCGGUUUGUCGCGUCUGCUGUGAAAACCCGAGGCUCAACCUCGGGCCUGCAGUGGGUACGGGCAGACUAGAGUGCGGUAGGGGGAGAUUGGAAUUCCUGGUGUAGCGGUGGAAUGCGCAGAUAUCAGGAGGAACACCAAUGGCGAAGGCGAGUCCCUGGACGAUACCUGACACUGAGGCACGAAAGCCAAGGGAGCAAACGGG